AUGAUCAACUUGUUCGACCUGAGCACGGGGAUGGCCAGCACCAAGGCACUCUCUGACAGAGCUCACAGAGAAGAUUCUCCAGUUCGUAGAGGCCGGACAGAUAUCAAGAGAACCGUUGAUCCUGCUAAAGUUUGUAUAGAGGAUAAACUGGAGACAAGUACUAGGAGUUCUUUAAGCAGCAAAUCAGAUGCAUCACCCAUGAAGAAGCUACUAGCAAACCAGAUAGCCAAAGAAGUGGAAUCAAAGAGAAAACCACCAAGUGUUGUUGCCAGGUUGAUGGGGCUUGAAGAUGAUCUACCUGCUCAAGAACAGGCAUUACAUUCUGCCAAAAGUAAUUUGAGGAGAAGUCAUUCACAUGAUAAGUAUGCAGCAACAAAGAGGGCCCUGCAGCAGCAAGAGCAGCACCUCUACAGCAAAACAACACGGGGCAAACACACAGGCCCCAAGGAAACAGUAGAAUUUAAGGAUGUGUAUGCAGUCUGCGAAGAACCAUUAAGAACACAUCAUCUUCAGGACCAAACUUCUUCAGGACUGAGGUCUUCACAAAACAAGAGAGACGAAAGGAUAGAAGUUGUUCGACAAAAGUUCAUACAAGCAAAACGCCUCGCCACAGAUGAAAAUUUCCUUCAUUCAAAGGAGUUUCAUGAAGCCCUGGAGGUUCUAAGUUCAAAUAAGGAUCUGUUUCUAAAGUUCCUUGAAGAACCAAGCUCUGUUUUCUCGAACCCGCUCUAUGGACAACACACAAUGGCUGCACCACCUCAGACAAAGCGCAUUACUGUCUUGAAACCAUUUAAAUCUGCUGAGAAUAAAGGGGCAAGAGAAAGCAGAACACACCAAGCUGAUGAAGAAAAUGACUUUGUAAUGGGAAAGUCACACAAGAGAUCUCAUUCAGCAGAAGAUACCUUCUCGAAGCCAAACAGGAUAGUGGUCCUAAAGCCAAGUCCUGGGAAACCUAACAGAGCACAUGCCAGGCUAACUCCCAGAUCAUCUCCAUUUGAACUGAUUCAGCGGACAGCCUUUCUUGGUGAUUUACAAGAUGGUACAUCCACCCUAGGAUGUACAGAAGUAUCGGGUGCUUCGGCUCAAUACCUGCCAGAAGAUCGGCGGCGGCGGGAUGAGUCUCUACUGUCUUCUGUAUACUCAAAUGGGUAUAAUGGAGAUGAGAGCUCUUUAAGCAGGUCAGAAGGUGAUAACAUUGAUGAAGAUGGUGGUAGCCUAAGUGACUCGGAGGUAGUCAGUCCAGUGUCGCGGCAUUCAUGGGAUUAUAUCAAAAGAUAUAGCAGUACUUACUCAUCUUCAACUCAUAGCAGGGCAUCUCAUUCACAUUCAGCUGAGUCGUCUGUGAUCAAAGAAGCCAAAAGGCGACUUUCCGAGAGAUGGACAACGGUAGCAUGUGAUGAGAUCAGUCAAGAAGUAAAGUUGCCAAGGACCUCAAGAACUCUGGGUGACAUGCUCUCCAUCAGAGAAACUGAGAGAGAGGAAACUGAUGCUGUAAUAAACUCUGCUUCAAGUAGCCGGUCGUGUGGCACAAAAAAUGAGUUGGCCAUGCAAGCUAGUUCCGUAUCUACAUUAAGAGAGGAUGAAACUGGGGAGAGCUCUCCAAGAAAUUUAGCGAGAUCAAAAUCUCUCCCGGUGUCAUCAGCAAUGUUUGAUAACAUGGUGGUGUCUGCAAAUUCUGAAGGCUGUGAAACACCGAAGGUGGAUACAAGGCAAGGUAAAGGAAAAUUAUCAUUCAAGGGGAAAGUAUCAAGUUUUUUCUUCCCUAGAAGUAAAAGGCUGGCAGAAGAGAAAACCACCCUUCCUUCUGAUAGCUUUGGUGAGAAGGUUCAAGUCACUUUUCUUGACGACAAGCGAUCAGAGACCAAUAGUGACCUUCAAUUUGAUGAGCAAAUAGCAUUUUGCAAGGACAAAGCUGACAAUUCCACCGUACAAACAAAUUGUUCUUUAAAUGUGGAUGUUGGUUCCAUGGAAGCACCUGUGUCUUCUGACUGCCCUAGUGGAUACACUGAUGAACCCACAUCAAACGGUGGCCUAAAAUGCAUGCGCGAUCAGCCUAGUCCUACUUCAGUUCUGGAUGCAUCAUUUGAAGCUAGCAACACUAAUGAACCUGAAUCAUCAAGAAGUACCAGUGCCUGCAAUGAGAGAGUUGCCUUACGAUCUCGUGCAAUUGAGUCUGUUCCCUGCUCGUUAUCAUGCGAGGACACAUACUCACAUUCUCCAUUACACAUGCAUCAUCUGAAUUCCUCAAAUGCAGAGGAUAAUGAAUCAGAAUGUUAUGCCCUUGUACAGAAGAUACUAUCAUCUGCUGGAUUAGACAACCUACAAGUGAGUAUGGUUUUCACAGGUUGGCAUUCAGCUGAUUGUCCUCUUGAUCCUGCACUGUGUGACAAGUUCUUGGACCGCAAGGAGGAGGCUGCUAAAUCGAGGGAGCGUAGGUCGAACCAAAAGCUUCUCUUCGAUUGUGUAAACAUGGCAUUGGUUGAGACUGGCCAGGAAGCCUUGCUAAGAACCUACCCGUGGGGUAAAGCAUGCUUCGGAGCACGGAGCGAGGCACUGUCUCAAGAUCUAGGGGAAGAAGUAUGGAACCAUGUGAGGGAUUGGCUUUACGGGGUGGACAGAUUGGCGGCAAACGAGUACGGCGAUGCUGCAAUGAUGCUGGAAAGAAUCGUGCACCAGGAGGUGGAAGGAGGAGGCUGGAUGAAAUCAGCGAGGUCGGAAGCGGAUGAGAUCACAAAACAGAUUGCAGAUGGUCUGUUGGUGGAGCUAGUCGGAGAAGCCGUGGCGGAUCUCACAGUUUGUUUUCCACAGCAAGACCUCGCAAUGCCAAUGCCAAAUCUGUAG
rnacentral:rRNA from 1 species